rnacentral:rRNA from 1 species
UACAGGGGGUGCAAACGUUGCUCGGAAUCAUUGGGCGUAAAGCGCGUGUAGGCUGCUCUGAAAGUCGGAUGUGAAAGCCCUGGGCUCAACCUAGGAAGAGCACUCGAUACUACAGAGCUUGAGUCCUGGAGAGGAAGGCGGAAUUCUCGGUGUAGAGGUGAAAUUCGUAGAUAUCGAGAGGAACACCGGUGGCGAAGGCGGCCUUCUGGACAGUGACUGACGCUGAGGAGCGAAAGCGUGGGGAGCGAACAGG